GAGCAGGGAAACAUAAAACGAGAAAAGAAGGAACAAAAAGUCAUCAAACUGUGAGUGUAUGUGUGUGUGUGAGUGUUUUUUUUUCUUUUGCUUU
rnacentral:ribozyme from 1 species